rnacentral:rRNA from 1 species
GACGAACCGUGCGAACGUUGUUCGGAAUCACUGGGCUUAAAGGGCGCGUAGGCGGCGCAUCAAGUCCGGGGUGAAAGCCCCCAGCUCAACUGGGGAAGGGCCUCGGAAACGGGUGCGCUCGAGGGAGGUAGGGGCAGGGGGAACUUCUGGUGGAGCGGUGAAAUGCGUUGAUAUCAGAAGGAACGCCGGUGGCGAAAGCGGCUACCUGGACCAGCACUGACACUGAGGCACGAAAGCGUGGGGAGCAAACAGG